GGUUUGAUUACGGCUCAGAUUGGAACGCCAUGGAUGCUUUACACAUGCAAGUCGAACGGCAGCACGGACUUCGGUCUGGUGGCGAGGCAACGGGUGAGUAAUGUAUCGGAACGUGCCUAGCGGGGACACCACGCGAAAGCGUAGCGAUAUCAGGCGUUUGUUCCUUCGGGAAAGCGGGGACCCUACCUCGCACUAUUAGGAAGUGGCCGAUAUCGAUUAUUAGUUGCGGGGUAACGGUCACCCCGCUGCUGACGAUCCGUAGCUUGGUCGGAGAGGGAUUGAUCGCGCUUGCGAUCUGGGACCUGAGAUAUCGCCCAGACUCCUACGGGCGGCGCAGUGGGGAAUUUUGACAAUGGGAACCUGAUCCACAGCCAUCCGCAGUGUGCGAUGAAGGCCUCACAAAAUAAUUUCGGUAGGAAGAACGUGAUUUCAGAUAAUACCCCGCAACCGACGGUACCUGUGAAUAAGCACCGGCUAACCACGCCAGCAGCCGCGUAAUACGUAGGCAAGCGCGCACCGGAAUAAGUAAAGGCGCAGGCGGUUCGGAAAGAAAGAUGAAUCCCAGAGCUUUAACUUUGAACUUACUUUUUAACUACCGAUAGUGUGUCAGAGGGAGGUGGAAUUCGCGUAGCAGUGAACGGCGUGGAUAUGAUAUUCACCGGAUGGCGAAGCAGCCCCUGGGAUAACACUGAUGUCAUGCACGAAAGCGUGGGAGCAAACAGGAUUAGAUACCCUGGUAAACCACGCCCGAACAUGCCACAAUUCGCUGUUAGCUCUUCGGGGUUUCGUAGCGUAGAAGCCAGACUGUGCAAGCGACCGCCCGGGAGCAUUGGUCAAAGAUGAAAACUCGUGUGAAUGACGGGGACUCCGCACAAGCGGUGGAUGAUGAUUAAUCUGAUGCAACGCGAAAACCUGGUUCACCCGAUAUGUCUGGAACUGAAAUAUUUGGGAGUGCUCGCAAGAGAACCGAAACACAGGCGUUGCAUGGCUGUCGCCGCUCAGUCGUGGAUGUUGUGGUUAAGUCCGCAACGAGCGCAACCCUUGUCAUUGGUUGCUGCGAAAGUGGCAUCAAUGGAGGAUCGCUGCGGACAACCGAUGAAGGGAUGACGUCAAGUCCAUGGCCUGGCGUGGGUAGGGCUCACACGUCAUACACUUUGUCGGGACAGAGGGUCGCCAAAUCCGCGAGGGGGAGCAAUCCCAGAAACCCGAUCAGUCCGGAUCGCAGUCUGCACGACCAGAAGUCGAAUCGCCAGUAAUCGCGGAUCAGCAUGCUGCGGUGAAUACGUUCCCGGCCCGCAUACACCGCCCGUCACAACUAUGGGAGUGGGUUUUACCGUGAAGUAGUUAGCCUAACCGUAAGGAGGGCGAUUACCACGGUAGGAUUCAUGACUGGGGUGAAGUCGUAACAG
rnacentral:rRNA from 1 species